rnacentral:rRNA from 1 species
GAUGAACGCUGGCGGCGUGCCUAAUACAUGCAAGUCGAGCGAACAGAUGAGGAGCUUGCUCCUCUGACGUUAGCGGCGGACGGGUGAGUAACACGUGGAUAACCUACCUAUAAGACUGGGAUAAUUUCGGGAAACCGGAGCUAAUACCGGAUAAUAUAUUGAACCGCAUGGUUCAAUAGUGAAAGACGGUUUUGCUGUCACUGAUAGAUGGAUCCGCGCCGCAUUAGCUAGUUGGUAAGGUAACGGCUUACCAAGGCAACGAUGCGUAGCCGAACUGAGAGGGUGAUCGGCCACACUGGAACUUGGACACGGUCCAGGCUCCUACGGGAGGCAGCAGUAGGGAACCUUCCGCAAUGGGCGAAAGCCUGACGGAGCAACGCCGCGUGAGUGAUGAAGGUCUUCGGAUCGUAAAACUCUGUUAUUAGGGAAGAACAAAUGUGUAAGUAACCAUGCACGUCUUGACGGUACCUAAUCAGAAAGCCACGGCUAACUACGUG